UAGCGGAGGAAAAGAAACCAACAGGGAUUGCCUCAGUAACGGCGAGUGAAGCGGCAAAAGCUCAAAUUUGAAAUCCCCCCGGGGAGUUGUAAUUUGAAGAUUGCGUCUUGGAGGCGACCGUGUCUAUGUUCCUUGGAACAGGACGUCACAGAGGGUGAGAAUCCCGUGCGGCACGGCCCCCGGCUCCUUAUAAGGCGCUCUCGACGAGUCGAGUUGUUUGGGAAUGCAGCUCAAAGUGGGUGGUAAAUUCCAUCUAAAGCUAAAUACAGGCGAGAGACCGAUAGCGAACAAGUACAGUGAUGGAAAGAUGAAAAGCACUUUGAAAAGAGAGUGAAACAGCACGUGAAAUUGUUGAAAGGGAAGGGCAUGCCGUCAGAUUGUCAGUGUGGGUAAGAAGCGGGGUACAAAGACUGUGGAACGUGGCCCUCGGGUGUUAUAGCCGCAGUUCAUGCCCCGUCUCUUUCCGAGGCCUGCUUUGAGGACACCGACGUAAUGACGGUACGCCGCCCGUCUUGAACCACGGGACCAAAA
rnacentral:rRNA from 1 species